AUUGAACGCUGGCGGCAGGCCUAACACAUGCAAGUCGAGCGGAGCGGCGGACGGGUGAGUAAUGCCUAGGAAUCUGCAUGUUAGUGGGGGAUAACGUCCGGAAACGGGACAUAAUACCGCAUACUAUCAGAUAAGCCUAGGUCGGAUUAGCUUGUUGGUGGGGUAAAGGCCUACCAAGGCGACGACCCAUAACCGGUCUGAGAGGAGGAUCGGUCACACGGGAACUGAGACACGGUCCAGACUCCUACGGGAGGCAGCAGUGGGGAAUAUUGGGCAAUGGGCGAAAGCCUGACCCAGCCAUGCCGCGUGGGUGAAGAAGGUCUUCGGAUUGUAAAGCACUUUAAGUUGGGAGGCGGUACCUACAGAAUAAGCACCGGCUAACUACGUGCCAGCAGCCGCGGUAAUUC
rnacentral:rRNA from 1 species